rnacentral:rRNA from 1 species
UACAGAGGUCCCAAGCGUUGUUCGGAUUCAUUGGGCGUAAAGGGUGCGUAGGCGGCGCGGUAAGUCGGGUGUGAAAUCUCGGGGCUUAACUCCGAAACUGCAUUCGAUACUGCCGUGCUUGAGGACUGGAGAGGAGACUGGAAUUUACGGUGUAGCGGUGAAAUGCGUAGAUAUCGUAAGGAAGACCAGUGGCGAAGGCGGGUCCCUGGACAACUCCUGACACUGAGGCACGAAAGCUAGGGGAGCAAACAGG